UACGUAGGCAACAAGCGUUGUUCGGAAUUACUGGGCGUAAAGAGUGUGUAGGCGGUGCUCUAAGUUCGUUGUGAAAUCUCCCGGCUUAACUGGGAGGGUGCGGCGGAAACUGGAGUGCUUGAGCGCGGGAGAGGAAAGCGGAAUUCCUGGUGUAGCGGUGAAAUGCGUAGAUAUCAGGAGGAACACCUGUGGUGUAGACGGCUUUCUGGACCGUAGCUGACGCUGAGACACGAAAGCGUGGGUAGCAAACAGG
rnacentral:rRNA from 1 species